AUUGAACGCUGGCGGCAGGCCUAACACAUGCAAGUCGAACGGUAACAGGAAGCAGCUUGCUGCUUUGCUGACGAGUGGCGGACGGGUGAGUAACGUCUGGGAAACUGCCUGAUGGAGGGGGAUAACUACUGGAAACGGUGGCUAAUACCGCAUAACGUCGCAAGACCAAAGAGGGGGACCUUCGGGCCUCUUGCCAUCAGAUGUGCCCAGAUGGGAUUAGCUAGUUGGUGAGGUAACGGCUCACCAAGGCGACGAUCCCUAGCUGGUCUGAGAGGAUGACCAGCCACACUGGAACUGAGACACGGUCCAGACUCCUACGGGAGGCAGCAGUGGGGAAUAUUGCACAAUGGGCGCAAGCCUGAUGCAGCCAUGCCGCGUGUAUGAAGAAGGCCUUCGGGUUGUAAAGUACUUUCAGCGGGGAGGAAGGUGUUGUGGUUAAUAACCGCAGCAAUUGACGUUACCCGCAGAAGAAGCACCGGCUAACUCCGUGCCAGCAGCCGCGGUAAUACGGAGGGUGCAAGCGUUAAUCGGAAUUACUGGGCGUAAAGCGCACGCAGGCGGUCUGUCAAGUCGGAUGUGAAAUCCCCGGGCUCAACCUGGGAACUGCAUUCGAAACUGGCAGGCUUGAGUCUUGUAGAGGGGGGUAGAAUUCCAGGUGUAGCGGUGAAAUGCGUAGAGAUCUGGAGGAAUACCGGUGGCGAAGGCGGCUCCCUGGACAAAGACUGACGCUCAGGUGCGAAAGCGUGGGGAGCAAACAGGAUUAGAUACCCUGGUAGUCCACGCCGUAAACGAUGUCUACUUGGAGGUUGUGCCCUUGAGGCGUGGCUUCCGGAGCUAACGCGUUAAGUAGACCGCCUGGGGAGUACGGCCGCAAGGUUAAAACUCAAAUGAAUUGACGGGGGCCCGCACAAGCGGUGGAGCAUGUGGUUUAAUUCGAUGCAACGCGAAGAACCUUACCUGGUCUUGACAUCCACGGAAGUUUUCAGAGAUGAGAAUGUGCCUUCGGGAACCGUGAGACAGGUGCUGCAUGGCUGUCGUCAGCUCGUGUUGUGAAAUGUUGGGUUAAGUCCCGCAACGAGCGCAACCCUUAUCCUUUGUUGCCAGCGAUUAGGUCGGGAACUCAAAGGAGACUGCCAGUGAUAAACUGGAGGAAGGUGGGGAUGACGUCAAGUCAUCAUGGCCCUUACAACCAGGGCUACACACGUGCUACAAUGGCGCAUACAAAGAGAAGCGACCUCGCGAGAGCAAGCGGACCUCAUAAAGUGCGUCGUAGUCCGGAUUGGAGUCUGCAACUCGACUCCAUGAAGUCGGAAUCGCUAGUAAUCGUGGAUCAGAAUGCCACGGUGAAU
rnacentral:rRNA from 1 species